CCAAUAGCGUAUAUUAAAGUUGUUGCAGUUAAAAAGCUCGUAGUUGAAUUUCGGGACCAUCAUGUCGGUCGUGCCUCGGUACGUACUGGCAUUGUUGGUUUCUCCCUUCUGACGAACCAUGAUGUCAUUUAUUUGGUGUUGUGGGAAAUCAGGACUGUUACUUUGAAAAAAUUAGAGUGUUUAAAGCAGGCUCACGCUUGAAUACAUUAGCAUGGAAUAAUGAAAUAGGACGUUUGAUUCUAUUUUGUUGGUUUCUAGGAUCGACGUAAUGAUUAAUAGGGAUAGUUGGGGGCAUUAGUAUUCAAUUGUCAGAGGUGAAAUUCUUGGAUUUAUUGAAGACUAACUACUGCGAAAGCAUUUGCCAAGGAUGUUUUCAUUAAUCAAGAACGAAAGUUAGGGGAUCGAAGACGAUCAGAUACCGUCGUAGUCUUAACCAUAAACUAUGCCGACUAGGGAUCGGAUGAUGUUAAUUUUUUAGUGACUCAUUCGGCGCCUUACG
rnacentral:misc_RNA from 1 species